GACCGGCGCACGGGUGAGUAACGCGUAUCCAACCUGCCCUUUACUAUGGGACAGCCCGUCGAAAGGCGGAUUAAUACCGUAUGUUGUCAUGUUGAUGCAUAUUUUCAUGACCAAAGGCUUCGGCCGGUAAAGGAUGGGGAUGCGUCUGAUUAGCUUGCCGGCGGGGUAACGGCCCACCGGGGCGACGAUCAGUAGGGGUUCUGAGAGGAAGGUCCCCCACAUUGGAACUGAGACACAGUCCAAACUCCUACGGGAGGCAGCAG
rnacentral:rRNA from 1 species